AGUUUGAUCCUGGCUCAGGACGAACGCUGGCGGCGUGCCUAAUACAUGCAAGUAGAACGCUGAAGGAGGAGCUUGCUUCUCUGGAUGAGUUGCGAACGGGUGAGUAACGCGUAGGUAACCUGCCUGGUAGCGGGGGAUAACUAUUGGAAACGAUAGCUAAUACCGCAUAAGAGUGGAUGUUGCAUGACAUUUGCUUAAAAGGUGCACUUGCAUCACUACCAGAUGGACCUGCGUUGUAUUAGCUAGUUGGUGGGGUAAGGGCUCACCAAGGCGACGAUACAUAGCCGACCUGAGAGGGUGAUCGGCCACACUGGGACUGAGACACGGCCCAGACUCCUACGGGAGGCAGCAGUAGGGAAUCUUCGGCAAUGGACGGAAGUCUGACCGAGCAACGCCGCGUGAGUGAAGAAGGUUUUCGGAUCGUAAAGCUCUGUUGUAAGAGAA
rnacentral:rRNA from 1 species